rnacentral:misc_RNA from 1 species
UCUUUCGAUCUUCAGAGCAACAGCGUUGUUAAUAAACAACAACAAUAACAACAACACCAACAACAUCAACAGUGGCGAUGGUGUAAUAGGUCUUCGGGUGUUAGAACUGUUACCAAAAAAAGGCAGUAUGAAGACUUGUAAAGGAGUUGGUAGAGUACAUCCAGUGAAGGCCUUUGCAGCAUUAUAGAGUACCAUGCGGUGCACCUCUACGUGGCGGUUCAACUUGUUAGAAGUAACAGCAAAUUACACUCUAUUAUAUUAAAAGACACAUCGGAUAAUGUAAUCAUCGGAUAAUGUGAUCAUCGGAUAAUGUAAUCCGGGAUAGACAAUAGCUGAAAAAUUAGAUCGGAUGGUCACGGUUGAAUCGUCUUAGAUAUAGAUAUGUUCAAUCCGUGUUGACCUUCAUACGAACACCACCAACAAUACGCUGCAUUAUACUGCAAAGCGUCGUUGCAUUGCAUAGAUGUGCAUGCAUGAACUCUUGCACACACACACACACACACGCGCGCACGCACACAUACACACACACACACACCACACACACACACACACAUACACACACACAGAGGGGCGUACAUACACAAAUGCACCCUUUCAAAUAGUUUACUAUCUCCAUUCUAUAAAAGACUUUAACAUACCUCUACAGCAGCAAUAAAUGUGUCAACAACAACAGCAGCUCAGCAGCAGCAGUAAUGGCAACAUCAGCAGCAACAUGUAUAAAGGUCAACAGCCGCAAUAUGAAUGGCAGCUAAUGAAGGCUUGAGUUGAAGCAGUAAUAAGAAAUAGCAACAAAUGCAAAUAAAUACUAAUAUAUGUCUAUACAUAACUUAAAGAAAAACUUGAAAAACAUGGACAUGCUUCACUGACUGAAAGAAUUAACAGGAAGCUAUCGAUGAAAGCGCUUAGGUCGUAACGCAUUCUCGGAUAAGACAUUUACCAGAAGAAAAAACAAAACAGGAGAAACGAAAGAAAAAGUCAGAAAGAAGACAUCAUAACAGUGUUAACUUCUGUUGUUUCAAUAAACCUGCAAUGGCUGUGGUUUAUGAGCAACUCUCUCCUGAGAAUGCUGCUUGUAUCAACCAAUGUUUAGACAACAUCCAUUCUGAAGACGAAGCCCUUCACUUCAUUUACAGCCGCCAUUUAUUUGACAGUUAUGCAUUUGCACUAAUCAACAAUGUAGAGCAAUACGAGAAAUGGAAAAUAACAGAUCCUAAAUUCUGGAGUUCUGACGAUGUGCUCGACUGGCUGUAUUACAUCGGCGAAAAAAACGACGUAGACUUUGGAAAUUUUUCAGCCGAAUCUUUCCAGUGUUUGAAAGUGGAUGAACUGAGCUACCAAGUUACAGAAGCGAACACCAAAGUGACUGAUACAAACGUCUACUCCAUAAUAAGAGAAAUAAUGGCGUCAGAAAACAAUUUUCAGUCAGACGACCACCAAACUUGCUUUGGCGCUAACCUUAACCAAAAAGAACUUUUUAAUGAUUCCACUGAAAAUAAUCCUCUUCCCUGUUCUUCGUCGCAUGACGAACCAAUCAAUGUUCAGUUCCCACUAGAAGUCUCCUUAAACCAAAUCCAAUAUGAUUAUUUGCAGCCAAAAACUGAAUACCAAAUCGAUGAGGAAAGAGAUUGCUGCCAGAAUUUAUCAUAUACCACAUUAACAAACAAAAUGGACUGUGAAUCCAAGCCCGACCUCUCAUCUCCCCACACAACCAAAUUAAAAGAAGAAGAAGAAGACAACUUGCACACUUCUCGUAGUCCGAAAUCUAUCAAACGAAUGCGUAAAAACGAAACGAAACCUUCUCGUAAACCAACCAAAUGCAAAGCAACAUCUUCGUCGUCCAAGAGUCACUCAAAAGCGCGUAACACCAAAAUGACCCGAGCUGGCACUCACCUAUGGGAAUUUAUCAGAGACUUGUUGCAUAACGAACAGUACAACCCGGAAUACAUUCGAUGGGAAGAUCGUGAGAAUGGCGUCUUUCGAUUUGUCGCCUCAGAGUUUGUGGCAAAACUAUGGGGCAUAAAAAAACAUAAUACUACAAUGAACUAUGAAAAACUGUCACGUGCUAUGCGGUUCAGCAGAAGUGUAGGAUAUUUUACCAAACUCCCAGACAGUGGCAUCUAUCCUAAAAAACUUUGCUUCAAGUUCGGACCAAAAGCUUUUGGCUGGAAAAAAUAACCUAACUGAAAUUAGGUUUUUAAAAUAUUUUAUGUAUUUUAUUUUAAUGAUAUUAUUAAUUAUUUAUUAUUAAUAUAGGCGCAGGAGUGGCUGUGUG